AGAGAAGCGGAAGGGAGAGAAUGGAAAUGGCCGCAUGCAGCUCCUCUCCCUCAGACAGCUCGGGGCUCAGCGGAAUGAGCACAGUCUGCAGGACAAGUGCGGAGGACUUCAGUCCCCUCUACUGUAUAUUGGCUUUAGGACUCAAGUUGUCCCUGAAAUAGAGGAAGGUGUUUUCUAGGGUAGUGGUAAUUAUCACAGUCAAAAAAGUAGGCGAGAGCACUUAGGAAAACUGUGCGGAGAUCGGCUGCUGAUGUGUAAAUACUGCUGAAGCUGCUUAUUCAAGAUUAGAAAACCUGAGACCCAGACGGGGGAAACUGCUUUCCAUGGUUAAUCGUCAACAACUGGCCAGGAUGGGACAGAAGCCCAUACAUAGCCUUCAUUCCAGGGCUCAGAACAAAAAGAAGGCAGUGGCCUGGGCUGCACCUGAGCUUGGCUUCACAUAGGAGGGAUUCUGGAACGCAGGAUCCUGACAACGACCUCAAGCCCCUGUAAAGCAACACAUUUUUUGGCAAGAAUCCCUGGGACAGAGAAAGAAUUUCUUCUCACUUAUUAUUGAGAAUGUUCUCAUGUCUUGCAAGGACUCACCCCAGGACCCAGUACCUUCAAGCGUUGGCUGUACGGAUUACCAGCUCCUGAAUUGCAGGCCUCUUUUCCAUAACCAGAAAGACUUGUAAGUGCUUCUGUUUCCUUCCCCAUAAACUCCUGGAAAAAGAACAGAAACUGGAGUCUAUGAUUUAUUGGGGAGAGAAAAGAAAAGAAAAAAAAAAGAA
ensembl:lncRNA LINC02405 long intergenic non-protein coding RNA 2405